CUGGUGUAACACAUAUGCACCAUGUAUCUGAACAAAAUAAAGACAUGAGCUGUCGAAGAUCCACAUGGAUAGCUGCUUGAGAUUUUCGUCUUUUGGGAGGGUGAACAUUCCCACUCAACUGGAUGAGGGAUAAAGGCUAGCUGUUCGUCGCCACAAUGAUGAGGUCAGACUGGUGAAGCUGAAUUGGAGAUGCUGGAUGCCAUAACACAAGCCUGAUGAAUGAAACUCUACAAACUGUCUUCCAUAAGAAUUGUGGUACCAUGAAUACAUUCCCUGACAGUUAGCCCCACCAGAGGACUGGAGGAGACGUGGACACUUCUCAAUCAAACAAAGUGAUAUUUCAAAUUGUUUAAUAUUUGUUGAAAUGGAUUGGAAUUGCAUUACAUUGUUCAAGAACACAUUUGGAAAAUAUACUGUAAAGUUGAAAAAUAAGUCAAUUCAGGGUGUCCCUCUAAUGGCAGUUUUAUUUUGGGCGUACCUGUCUCUAUAGAUAUGUCAGACUUUUAUAAAUUAAUCAUAAACUAUCUCUUAAAAGCCCUGGAGCGGAUUUUGAUCAUUUCAUGAGCCAAAAAUUAAAUAUUUACAUUACCCCAAUCUGUGUGCGAUACAGAUUUGAUGUGAACCGUUUCGGCCAUUAAAAA